rnacentral:tRNA from 1 species
GCGCCUGUAGCUCAGUGGCUAAAGUGCCAGACAUAUACACUGGAGAUGGCAGGUUCUAAUCCAGCCCAGGCGUG